rnacentral:ncRNA from 2 species
GGACCAUCCAGAGCGGCUGAGAGACUUGGCUCGACGACGCCGCAGCAACCACCAGCUCCCGGGCUGACAGGUGCUUCCGCCAAGCCGAUGGACC